rnacentral:tRNA from 1 species
CGGUGUAGCUCAGCUGGCUAGAGCAGCUGAUUUGUAAUCAGCAGGUCGUGGGUUCGAGUCCCUCCACCG